rnacentral:rRNA from 1 species
GUGCCAGCCGCCGCGGUAAGACGGAGGGGGCAAGCGUUGUCCGGACUCACUGGGCGUAAAGGGUGCGUAGGCGGUGGCGUGCGUCCGCGCUGAAAUCUGUCGGCUUAACCGGCAGGCGCGUGCGGAUACGACGGCACUUGAGGCUCUGAGAGGGUGGCGGAACUCCUGGUGUAGUGGUGAAAUGCGUAGAGAUCAGGAAGAACACCCGUGGCGCAAGCGGCCACCUGGCAGAGACCUGACGCUGAGGCACGAAAGCGUGGGGAGCGAACCGGAUUAGAUACCCGCGUAGUCC